rnacentral:rRNA from 1 species
GAGGAAAAGAAACUAACAAGGAUUCCCCUAGUAACGGCGAGUGAAGCGGGAAGAGCUCAAAUUUGAAAUCUGGUAGCCUUCGGUUGCCCGAGUUGUAAUCUAGAGAAGUGUUUUCCGCGUUGGCCCAUGUACAAGUCCCUUGGAACAGGGCGUCAUAGAGGGUGAGAAUCCCGUCCUUGACAUGGACCCCCAAUGCUUUGUGAUACACUUUCAACGAGUCGAGUUGUUUGGGAAUGCAGCUCAAAAUGGGUGGUGAAUUCCAUCUAAAGCUAAAUAUUGGCGAGAGACCGAUAGCGAACAAGUACCGUGAGGGAAAGAUGAAAAGCACUUUGGAAAGAGAGUUAAACAGUACGUGAAAUUGUUGAAAGGGAAACGAUUGAAGUCAGUCAUGCUCUUUGGAUUAAGCCGUUCUGCGGUGUAUUUCAUUGAGCGGGGUCAACAUCAGUUUUGAUCGCUGGAAAAGGGCAGGAGGAAGGUAGCACUCUCGGGUGAACUUAUAGCCUCUUGUCGUAUACAGUGAUUGGGACUGAGGAACGCAGCAUGCCUUUUGGCCGGGAUUCGUCCACGUACAUG